rnacentral:rRNA from 1 species
UACCCCUGUAGUCCUAGCCGUAAACGAUGGACACUAGGUGUUGUCUGUAUCGACCCGGACAGUGCCGUAGCCAACGCGUUAAGUAUCCCGCCUGGGGAGUACGCACGCAAGUGUGAAACUCAAAGGAAUUGACGGGGGCCCGCACAAGCGGUGGAGUAUGUGGUUUAAUUCGAUGCAACGCGAAGAACCUUACCAGGGCUUGACAUCCCGCGAAUCCCCUUGAAAGGGGGGAGUGCCUUCGGGAGCGCGGAGACAGGUGGUGCAUGGCUGUCGUCAGCUCGUGUCGUGAGAUGUUGGGUUAAGUCCCGCAACGAGCGCAACCCUCGUUCUUAGUUGCCAUCAUUAAGUUGGGCACUCUAGGGAGACUGCCGGUGACAAACCGGAGGAAGGUGGGGAUGACGUCAAGUCAUCAUGCCCCUUACGUCCUGGGCUACACACGUACUACAAUGCUAGAGACAAAGAGCAGCCAACCAGCGAUGGCGAGCUAAUCUCAUAAACUCUGGCUCAGUUCAGAUUGCAGGCUGCAACUCGCCUGCGUGAAGGAGGAAUCGCUAGUAAUCGCAGGUCAGCAUACUGCGGUGAAUACGUUCCCGGGCCUUGUACACACCGCCCGUCACACCAUGGAAGUUGGCCACGCCCGAAGUCGUUACCCUAACCGUUCGC